rnacentral:misc_RNA from 1 species
AACGGUCUAUACCUGCGGUACCUGCGGAAGGAUCAUUACCGAGCCGUGAGGGUCACCUGGGAACAGGCUUGAUCUUUCACUUGGCCACCCUUGUUUAUUUUAACCUGUUGCUUUGGUGGGCCCGCCACAAUGGCCGCCGGGAAAUUUGUGUGUUCCGGGCCCGUGCCCACCAAAGUCUUCAUGAAUUCUUUGUUAUAUUUUUUGCUGUCUGAGCAUUAAAAGUGAAAUAUACUUAAAACU